rnacentral:rRNA from 1 species
CCUACGGGAGGCAGCAGUGAGGAAUAUUGGUCAAUGGCCGGAAGGCUGAACCAGCCAAGCCGCGUGAAGGACGAAGGUGCCAAGCAUUGUAAACUUCUUUUGUAAGGGAACAAAAUCAGGCACGAGACCCUGACCGAGGGUACUUGAAGAAAAAGCAUCGGCUAACUCCGUGCCAGCAGCCGCGGUAAUACGGAGGAUUCGAGCGUUAUCCGGAUUUAUUGGGUUUAAAGGGUGCGUAGGCGGACUUUUAAGUCAGCGGUGAAAGGCCGGGGGCCAACCCCGGGCUAGCCGUGGAAACUGGGUGUCUUGAGAUGUCGAGAGGCAGGCGGAAUGCGGAGUGUAGCGGUGAAAUGCUUAGAUAUUGCGCAGAACUCCGAUUGCGAAGGCAGCAUACCGGCGGCGAUCUGACGCUGAGGCACGAAAGCGUGGGUAUCGAACAGGAUUAGAUACCCGAGUAGUC